CCGCAGUCACGGCAGAUGUAGGCCUGCUUGGACGCGACCCGCAUGGUGAUCCGCGCGGCCGCGGCCGCCCUUGCCACCCGCCGGCGCGCCGGCGCCGGCAGCCGCAGCGAGCACGGCGCUGAGGAGAACGAGGACCGGAGCGGCGCCGGCGCCGGCGCGCGCAGGAGAGACGACGGGGCCUGCACCUGCAGCGCCAUCUCAGAGCAGAGGCGGCGGUGGUGGGCCUGGUGGCGAGGAGGAGAUAAGAGGAGGGAGGGAUGGAGAGGCGAUUGGUGGGUUGC
rnacentral:lncRNA from 1 species